rnacentral:piRNA from 1 species
CCCAUCAUUUUUGCAUGCAGCCUCCCA